UCCUCCCUCUUGCUUCGUGCUUAACACAUGCCAGUCGAACGGAAAGGCCCUGCUUUUGUGGGGUGCUCGAGUGGCGAACGGGUGAGUAACACGUGAGUAACCUGCCCUUGACUUUGGGAUAACUUCAGGAAACUGGGGCUAAUACCGGAUAGGAGCUCCUGCUGCAUGGUGGGGGUUGGAAAGUUUCGGCGGUUGGGGAUGGACUCGCGGCUUAUCAGCUUGUUGGUGGGGUAGUGGCUUACCAAGGCUUUGACGGGUAGCCGGCCUGAGAGGGUGACCGGCCACAUUGGGACUGAGAUACGGCCCAGACUCCUACGGGAGGCAGCAGUGGGGAAUAUUGCACAAUGGGCGGAAGCCUGAUGCAGCAACGCCGCGUGCGGGAUGACGGCCUUCGGGUUGUAAACCGCUUUCGCCUGUGACGAAGCGUGAGUGACGGUAAUGGGUAAAGAAGCACCGGCUAACUACGUG
rnacentral:rRNA from 1 species